AUGAUGAAAAGAAUGAUCCUAUUAACAUUCCAAAUUUAUAAAAUUUGGGAUGUUACAGAUAUGCAAGAGCUUCUUCAUCAAGCGGAGCGUGCCGAACAGUGGGUCAAAGCAAAGCAAGUUUUCAAAGGCCGCACUAAUUUCAGCAUGGGGCGGCGUUCCUAUUCGCAUGAAGAUGAUAAUGUCAAGCCAGUUUCAUCAUAUAGGUCAGCUACCACCGAUCACAAGGAGAUGAGCAAAGAACCUAUGGCCGCGAGCAAAGUGGCUUCAAGGGCUGAUUCAAGCACUACUAGAAAAAGGGCUAUAGAUGGGAUUGAGACUAAUGGCGCACCAGACAAGCGGUGCGCCAUUAGUAUAUACUAA
rnacentral:rRNA from 1 species